CUUCCCCCUCCUCCCAUCAAAAUAAUUGGUGUCGAUAACUACUCUACUCUCAUGGAGUUGCUGGUGCAAAAAACCAUUAAAAAAUCAGACAUUCAGACUCGUAUCGUGAACAAUGAAGUGUGGCACGUCAACCCAAAAGACGACGAGACCGCCAAGCUUAUCCUGGAAUCUCUUCGUAACGCUAACUCAGUGAACCCAAAAAUUCAGUUUUACACCCACUGUAAUAAAAAUAUUAGGGACCUUAAGGUCAUUAUCAGGGGGCUUCACCCUACGUUAGAUCAGGAGGAGAUACUGGACGAUCUCCGUAAUAAAGGAUUUAAGCCCAAACGGGCCAUCUGUUUAAUGAAAAGAGUACCUCUCACUGAAGCUGAACUUAAGGCCUUACGCCCCGUUACUGUUCCCCCCAAGGAUACUCAGGCUCCAACUCAGGAGCAAGCUAAUAAGGUUUCACAAACUCAGAAUAGUACCUCUGCCAUUUCUGCCCCUGGCACUGAUACUGCCAUGGACACAACUGGUCAGGGCGAACAAAUCUUGGAUACCGAUAAUACCCCUUUAUUUAGUGAGGAUAAGGAGUAUGUUAAUAAGACAAAACUCAUUAAAAUUCCCGUCCACCAAGUGGACUUUGAUCAUGAUGAUAAUAUUGAAAAAAUUUAUAAGAUAAUAGGUAUUUGCUCUAUGCGAGUUAAAGUAGAACCAAUCAAAGUAUCAUCCGCGAGGAUAAUUCAAUGCAAACGUUGUCAAAAUUUUGGACAUUCUUUUAACUUUUGUGGAAAGCAGGCUAGAUGUGUCCGCUGUGCAGGGAAACACCUAUCCUCUGACUGCCAGUGGCCUAAGAGGGUCAUCAAUCCCAAGUGUGCAAAUUGUGGGGCCUGGGGCCACCCAGCUAGCUAUAGAGGAUGCCCUUUCGCGAAAGCCAUGCAACAAGAGCGUUCGCAAGCUUUAAAAAAGAAUGAUCCAAAAAAAUCGGGUUCGGGGGGUAAUUUUCCAUCUCUCCCCAAAAAAACCCGCGUUAAAAUACAAAUCACAAGCUGCUUCUAAUGCAACUCCUGUUAAAAACGCCCGGGCCGCUCUGCAACCCGGCGUGACGUUCGCAGAUGCGGCAAACGGGGCUAAUCAAAAAGACGACUUGAUAAGUCAACUUCUCGCUACGAUUGAGUCACUGCGGAAACAGCUUGACGAGAUGUCCAAACGACAGGAAAAGUACGAACAACUUAUACUCGGCCGUCUUAUCGGCUCCCCCGCUACUGCUCGCCUACCGUGAAAUGUCGGGUGACUCCAAGGAAAGCAUUCUAAACUUCCUUGCAUGGAAUGCAAAUGGUUUAUCUCCAGCAAAAUUACUGGCGUUCAGCGCAACAAUGGAGAGUUUACGCUCUGAUGUUAUCCUAUUUUCAGAGACCCACUAUGCGCGUGAAUCUCGG
rnacentral:lncRNA from 1 species